AGAGUUUGAUCCUGGCUCAGAACGAACGCUGGCGGCAGGCCUCAAACAUGCAAGUCUAGGGGUAGCAAUACACCGGCGGACGGGUGCGUAACGCGUGGGAAUGUACUUACUGGUUCGGAACAACUGCGGGAAACUGCAGCUAAUACCGAAUGAGCCCGCAAGGGGAAAGAUUUAUCGCCAGUAAAUCAGCCCGCGUAGGA
rnacentral:rRNA from 1 species